rfam:Triticum urartu cultivar G1812 contig24025, whole genome shotgun sequence.
UGUAUACCCCCUCCGUCCAACAUGACUUUUCGUCAAAAUGGAUAAGAAGAGAUGUAUCUAGAACUAAAAUACGUCUAGAUACCUCUCCUUUUAUCCAUUUUGAUGAAGUAUUUCCGAACGGAGGGAGUAUCUA